AACGGGGGGAACGAGCGUUAUUCGUCAUGACUGGGCGUAAAGGGUAUGUAGGUGGUAAUCUUAAUACAAUUUUAAAAAACAGAAUCUCAACUUCUAACUAUUAUUGUACAUUUUUUUACUAGAGUUUAGCACACGAUUCAGGUAUUUUUGGAGUAACAGUAAAAAGUGCAAAUUCCAAUAAGGACCGCCAACAGCGAAAGCAUGAAUCCAGGCUAUUUCUGACACUGAGGUACUAAAGCAUGCUGGGAGCAAACGGG
rnacentral:rRNA from 1 species